GACAGAGGCCCCAAGCGUUAGGCGGAAUCACUGGGCUUAAAGCGUGUGUAGGCGGAUCGUUAAGUGUCUUGUGAAAUCCCACGGCUCACCCGUGGAACUGCUGGGCAUACUGGCGAUCUUGGGCCAACUAGGGGCAGUCGGAACAAGCGGUGGAGCGGUGAAAUGCGUAGAUAUCGCUUGAACGCCGAAGGUGAAAACAGACUGCUGGGGUUGCGCCGACGCUGAGACACGAAAGCCAGGGGAGCAAACGGG
rnacentral:rRNA from 1 species